rnacentral:lncRNA from 1 species
GAGAAAAUAAUUGAGGCUCAUUUCCAGGACAGAGGGGCAAGCUGGGUCUAAAGAGCCAAGCAGAAAGGCUUCCCAAAAUCGCUAGGUUGGGAGGGGUCAGAGACGUGUGGCUGCCCCAGCUGUUCUGACUCUGCCCCAGCUUUUGGCUCCACCCCCUUAAAGCACCUUCAGAGGUUCCCAUGGCGACAGUAAACAAGUCUCCACUGCCUUGGCCAUGUGCUGUGUUCACCCCACUCCUGAUCUUGUUGGCUGCUCAGGGGCUGACAGCCCAGAUGUGCAGCUGUGAUGAGCAGAAACAGGGAGGAAUGGAGCCCCCAGCCAUUGUCAUCACUUCCUCAAGCUGUCUAAAUUCUGCCCAGCAGUCUGUGAAAAUGUUGUGCUGAUGACAUAUGUAAGGACUCUAACUCCCCUCAAACAAUCUGCUCACCUGAAAGGCUCACUCCUGUUGUAAUAAAUGACACAUAAGGUCACAAUUCAACCGGUA